rnacentral:rRNA from 1 species
UACGUAGGUGGCAAGCGUUGUCCGGAAUUACUGGGCGUAAAGGGCGUGUAGGCGGCCUUUUAAGUCAGACGUGAAAACCCUGGGCUUAACCCAGGACCUGCGUUUGAUACUGAAGGGCUUGAGGACCGGAGAGGGCAGUGGAAUUCCCAGUGUAGCGGUGAAAUGCGUAGAUAUUGGGAGGAACACCAGUGGCGAAGGCGACUGCCUGGACGGCACCUGACGCUGAGGCGCGAAAGCCAGGGGAGCAAACGGG